rnacentral:rRNA from 1 species
CCCUUAGAUGUCCGGGGCCGCACGCGCGCUACACUGAAGGAAUCAGCGUGGCUUUCUCCCUGACCCGAAAGGGUUGGGAAACCCGUUGAAUCUCCUUCGUGAUAGGGAUUGGGGCUUGAAAUUGUUCCCCAUGAACGAGGAAUUCCCAGUAAGCGCGGGUCAUAAGCUCGCGUUGAUUACGUCCCUGCCCUUUGUACACACCGCCCGUCGCUACUACCGAUUGAACGGUUUAGUGAGGGCCUCGGAUUGGCCUCGGCCCGCUCUUUACCGGGCGGCGCCGUUGGUCGAGAAGACGCUCGAACUUGAUCGUUUAGAGGAAGUAAAAGUCGUAACA